rnacentral:lncRNA from 1 species
CCAAUCGGCAUAUGGGUAUCCGGGGCAACAGGCCAAUGAGGGGGCCGGCUAGGCGGCGGCGGCUGCAUGUGAAAGUGUGGAGCUGCUGCAGAGGGAAGAGAGAAGAUGAGAGAGGUUGCAGUGUGUGUAUAUACACAACAUCAAGAGCAGGAAAAUGGACUCAUUAGGGAGGCAGGCAGUCAUUACCACUCACACUGUACUUCCAGGGAGACAGCGACUAUGAGGAGACAAACUGAGGACUGGGGAACAAGCACCCAGCUCAUGUUUUAGAAAAGAAGGCACCAUGACUUCCACCCCAGCAAUUCGUGGGCAACUGUCUGGAACACAACAGCUCUGAAGAACAAAACAAGAAUUGACAAAGCAUUAAAGAAUACACCAUAAAAAGUAAUAUAUGGGAUGGGGAAGAUUAUGAUAGAUUUUUUUUCCAUCUCGAAUUUCA